GAAGAGAGACAGCACCGUGAGCUUAAUUAGUUGAUCAGAAAGUUAGUACGACCACAUCUCACCAUGUCCAAGAAGGUUUUGGUGGCCAUGGUCUUGGUUCUCAUGGCCAUGUCCGGCUCGUGGACCCGGGCGGCAGCGAGGCCACUGCCAGGUGACGGGUUGCACGCCGAGGAGCCCGCCUCUGCCGGCCCCGUCCGCGGUGUGCUGCCUGGACCGGCAUCACAAUGGCGAGGGCACAUGCUUCUGCCGUUGGAGAAGAAGACGGGGGCAGGCCUAUCUUGUGGCACCAAUGAUAAGAAUAACGCACAUUGCCCCCCGUAGAGAUGAAUGUACGCCUUACAGCAAAUUCUCGUGCCUUUGCAUGGGGCCAAACCUGAAGCUAUAUUCGAUUCGUAGUGAUGUAACGUGAUAAUCGAUCGCUAGGGUUCAGAAGUUUAUGUUUGUUAAUUUCUUACAAAAUCAUGCAUUUUCCCUUUAAUUUUAGUCGGAGUUUGAACUUGAGGACAUGUGGUAGUAAUCAUGUCCUUAGAUCAAUGUACUUGUUUGCAAUGAUCAAACAGACAAGUAUAUUGGUUAAAAGCAACCUCAUCUACAUAUAUUGGUAGGAUAUUUAAAUGUGACGAAAUGAAAAUGUUAUUUAUUCUCCGG
rnacentral:rRNA from 1 species